CACAAAAUCGGGGACAGCGACUGUUUAAUAAAAACACAAGUCUCUGCAAAUUCGUAAGAAGAGGUAUAGAGACUGACGCCUGCCCGGUGCUGCAAGAUUAAUGUAAAAAGUUUUGGCUUUGAACAAAAAUCCCAGUAAACGGCGGCUGUAACUCUGACGGUCCUAAGGUAGCGAAAUUCCUUGGCAUU
rnacentral:rRNA from 15 species